UACGUAGGGUGCGAGCGUUAAUCGGAAUUACUGGGCGUAAAGCGUGCGCAGGCGGUUCGUUAAGUCCGAUGUGAAAGCCCCGAGCUUAACUUGGGAAUGGCAUUGGAAACUGGCGGGCUGGAGUGUGGCAGAGGGGGGUGGAAUUCCACGGUGUAGCAGUGAAAUGCGUAGAGAUGUGGAGGAACACCGAUGGCGAAGGCAGCCCCCUGGGCCAACACUGACGCUCAGGCACGAAAGCGUGGGGAGCAAACAGG
rnacentral:rRNA from 1 species